rnacentral:rRNA from 1 species
GGGCGAGUGAAAGAGGGGAAAAGCCCAAAUUGUAAUCUGACCUUUCAGGGUCCCGAGUAGUAAUCUUGAGAGCUGUUUUCUGUGCUGGACCAUUUCUAAGUCUGUUGAAAAAUAGCAUCAUUGAGGGUGAUAAUCCCGUUCAUGAUAUGGACUACCAGUGCAAUAUGAUACAGUUUCUAAGAGUCGAGUUGUUUGGGAAUGCAGCUCAAAGUGGGUGGUAAAUUCCAUCUAAGGCUAAAUAUAGGUGAGAGACCGAUAGCAUACAAGUACCGUGAGGGAAAGAUGAAAAGAACUUUGGAAAGAGAGUUAACAGUGCGUGAAAUUGUUGUGAGGGAAACAUUUGAAGUUAGCCUUGUGCUUGUUAGUUCAGCUCUCUCUAUAGGGUGUAUUCUAAUGAUGUCACGGACCAACAUCAGUUUUUGGGUGCUGGAUAAGGGUUUUGGAAAUGUGGCAGCUUAGGUUGUGUUAUAGUCCAGAACUUAGAUACAGUGCUUGGGACUGAGGCAUGCAGCAAGCCAGUAAAAUGGUGGUCUUUAUUAUUAAGGCUUCAAUGCUGAGGAUGUUGGUGCAAUAGCUUUAAAUGACCCGUCUUGAAACACGGACCAAGGAGUCUAACAUGCUUGCAAGUAUUUGGGUGUUGAAACCCUGAUGCGGAAUGAAAGUAAAUGUAAAUGGGAUCUGUAACAAGUGCACCAUUGACCAGUCCUGAUUAUUUAUAUGAAGGUACUGAGUAAGAGCAAGUAUGUUGGGACCCGAAAGAUGGUGAACUAUGCCUGAAUAGGGUGAAGCCAGAGGAAACUCUGGUGGAAGCUCGUAGCGAUUCUGACGUGCAAAUCGAUCGUCAAAUUUGGGUAUAGGGGCGAAAGACUAAUCGAACAUCUGUUUUGA